GGAAAUAUCAAGUAUAUAUUGGAAUCUUUGAACUCUGAAGAUGGAUUCAUAAAAGAGCUUUUUGUGUUAAGAAUGAAGGAAGCAUAUACACAUGCCCAGAUAUCAAGGAGUAAUGAGCUGAAGGACACCUUGAUUCUUACAACAGGGGAUAUUGGAAGGGCAGCAAAAGGAGAUUUGAUACCUUUUGCACUCUUGCAUUUACUGCAUUGCUUGUUGUCUAAGUCUGCAUCCGUCUCUGGAGCGGCAUACACAGAGAUCCGAGCACUAGUUGCAGCCAAAAGUGUUAAACUACAGAAUUUUUUCAGUCAAUAUAAGAAACCAAUCUGUCAGUUUUUGGUAGAAUCUCUCCACUCCAGUCAGAUGACAGCACUCCCAAGUACUCCUUGCCAGACUGCUGAGAUGCGAAAACAACAUGUUGCUCAUCACAGAGAAAUGGCUUUAAAUACCUUAUCAGAAAUUGCCAAUGUUUUUGACUUUCCUGAUCUUAAUCGUUUCCUGACAAGGACAUUACAAGUUCUACUUCCUGAUCUGGCCGCCAAAGCAAGUCCUGCAGCAUCGGCUCUCAUCCGAACUUUAGGGAAACAAUUAAAUGUCAACCGUCGAGAGAUUUUAAUAAAUAACUUCAAAUAUA
rnacentral:lncRNA from 1 species